rnacentral:misc_RNA from 1 species
GCUUUUACAAAGGCAUUAAAGAGAUAAAGUUGGAGGUGUCGAGCUCGAAACCCAAGAGCUAGAGAAGUAUCCCAAGCGUUAGAUGGUUCAUUUUAGCAACACCCCAUUAUUAUACUGUUAUCAAGCAAGAAGCAAGCUUUUUCUUAUUAAAAAUAAAGCUUUUUUUCUCGUAGUAUAAACGAGAACCAGACCCCAUGGCACAGCAGAGCAGACUGAGACAAGCAAACCAUGGAGGUUUUUCAUGAGUUGUCAUUGCAAAGACAUGGGC